GUCUCUCCUGCCACCACUUUUCACCAUCUUCAGGGUUACAGCUCGCUCUCCCUCACUCUCAGUCUCCUGGUUCCAGGUGCUUCUCAGCACAGGGAUCCCAGGCCCUUCUCAGCGCAGGGAUCCCAGGCCCAAAGGAUGCUCUCUGCUCCUGGCUGUUCCUCUUUGGUGAUGGUAGGAUCCUCUCCCACCUCUGGGAUGGCUCACCUCAAGCCCAGUGGGAUGUCAAAAUUGGCCAGUCCCUUUAGUGGGCCAUGUCUUAGGCUGCAUUCUCUAGAGAAGCAAAACCAGUAAGGCAUAUAAAGACAGAGAUUUGUAUCAAGGAAAUGGCUCACGGUUGUGGAGGCUGGAACAUCCCAAGUCCGUGGGUCAGAACAGAAGCUUCUCCUGAUUCACGUAGCCACAGGGGCUGGCGAACCCAAGAUUGGCAGGUCAGAGAGCGGGGCUCUUGCUCACGGGCUGCGAAGAUUGAUGAAUCCCAAGAUUGGCAGGUAAGACUGCGGGUAAAGCUGCUAGCUUAAGAUCCAAGAACCGGAGUUCAGACAAACAGGAACCAGCUGCAGGAUGCAGCGUGAGGAAAAAGCCCAGGUGCCUUGCCAGAAUGUCCACUUAUAUUCGAUGGAGGCCACAUGCCCAAAGAAACUCCCUUUCAACAGAUCCCAUCAUGGAGGUGAUGACAACACCACAUGACUCCCAAACCACUGAGAAUCAUGGUCCAGCCAAGUUGACAUACAACCUUAACCAUCACAGGCCAUGGUUACCCUGUUUUCACAGUCCUGCCCAAUCACUUGGGUAGGAUUUAUAAGACCAUGGCUAGAAAGGCCAUACAGUGAUCCGUUGCACCACAGUCGGUAAAGAUGUGAAGCAACUGGAACUCAACCUGUUGGUGGGAAGGUAAAAUGGCACAACCACAUUGGAAAAGUUUGGCAGUUUCUUAAAAGAAAUAACCCAGCCAUGCCACUCUUAGGUAUUUUCCCAAGAAAACUGAACUGAAAGCAUGCUCACACAGAAUUGUACACAAGUGUUCAUAGCAGCUUUAUUCAUAAUUGCCAAAAAAAAAACCCCCAAAACUCAAACUUCCAUCAACAGGUGAAUGGAUAAACAAAUUGUGAUAUAUCCACACAAAGGAGUACUGCUGCUGCUGUUAGUUGCUGCUGUUAAUUCUGACUCAGGGCGAGUUCAUGUAUGCAGAGUAGAACUGCUCCAUAGGGUUUUCAAGGCCGUGACUUUUGGAAGCAGAUCACCAGACCUGUCUUCCACGGCGCCUCUGGGUAGGUUUGAACCAUCAACCUUUAGAAAACUAGUAGUUAAAUGCUUAACCCUUUACGCUACUCAGCAACAAAAUUAAAUGUUUGUUGAGAAUCAACCAAAAAUGUAUGUAUGCUGCAUUCCUUCACUAGGUGGCGACAAAGCCCAGUCAUUUCUAGGCCCAUCUGAUUCCCGCUUCUCCUUGCUGUGGCAGGCAGAAGCAAAAAACCAAACCAAACCCACUGGCAUCGAGUCGAUUCCGAUUUAUGGCUAAAAAAAAAAAAAUUUAAAGGAGAGUAGAACUGUCCCAUAGGGUUUCCAAAGAGCGCCUGAUGGGUUGGAACUGCCGACCUUUGCUGUUAGCAGCCAUAGCUCUUAACCACUACCCCACCAGGGUUUCUGUAGCAGGCAGAUGAGGACAUUAUCUCCAUUUAACAGGUGAGAAAACAGGCCUGGAGAGGGCAGGAAGCACCCCCAAGUUUGCCAGCUUGAUGGGAGACGGAAUCUUAUCCAUGCCUGCUAGGUUUCUGGUCUUCCAAAUCAACAACCCAGGUGACCCUCACAGGUCUCGCUUUUCCCCACACCUACUCUCCUAGCUUCCCCCUUUAGUCCAUACCAACUAACCUGGACCCUGCGUUUGGGAUCUACUUUACAGAUCAGGGAACUGAGGCUUGAGGGAGAGGCUUGCAGAGACUGGCGAGUGGUGGAGCUGCGGCUUGAAUCCAGGUGUGUCCUAGCCACUUAUUGGGACUAUCAGGCAGAUGAAAGCACAGUGAGCCUUUUGUACAGUGGUAGUAGAUAAAGGACAUGCCCAGGAUGUGCUUACAUUUUCAAGGCCUAGCCCCUUGACUUGGACAUCCUCGCCCAGGGAACUUUUACAUUGACCCCCUUGCCCAGUCCCGUUUUUGUGCUCAGAGGUAGAGGUGACUUCCGGCCUACUUGUCUGCCCCUUCCUGUCACCCACACUUUUCCAAUCCUGGCCAGCUUUGAACCUGCUCAACCCCAGUACCAUGUUGCCCCUGCUCUCACCCGUUUGCUCCCUAAUCCAGUCCUUGUGCUUCCAGGGAGACCUGAAAGAACAUGUGAGACCUUUCUCCCAAAGAUGCAUUUGACUCCUAUGCAGAACAGCACUUAAGUAUGUCCAGGGCCACGCAGUGCCUAGUUCAGCUUCCGUGAGCAGGACUGAGCUGCCCCACCCCCACACCAUGUCCAUAGCUUGCACAGGCUGGUAAGUUGAGGGUCAGUCUGUUGACCUCUGGCAAGUCCCUUUUUCUGUCUGGGCUGUUGCUUCAUCCCUGGGAACCCACACACUGAGAAACAGGGACAUGGUCCAGGGGUUGGAAACUGAGGCUGAAAUUCCAGCUCCAGCUGCUUUGGACAAGUGUCUCAGCCAGUGAGGACAUUCCACCUGCCACCCCGGGUCCCCUGAGAUGCAGGGCAGUCCUUCCCACAGCUGAAUGCUGCUGGUACCCUGGCAGAACUUUACUGAUCAACACCACAUGAACAAGGUGCAGUCUUGUCUGGUAAGGUAAAAUUAUGUCAACAAGGACAUCUCAGAGGGGGUACCAGAAAGCUAUUUUAUCCUCUACUGCAAUAAAAAGUUGAUGUCAAGUCCAUUGCGACUCAUAGCAAUCCUACAGGACAGGGUAGAACUGCUCCAUGGUUUUCAAAGAGCACCUGGUGGAUUCUAACUGCCAUCCUUUGACCUUUUGGUUAGCAGCCUCAGCCGUAUGUCUUAACCACUAUGCCAGUUGGGUUUCCUGUUCUCUACUGAAGCUUGUAACUGCUUUCAAAGCAUCAGUGAGGACGGUCCCCCUCCCUGAGCUGUUCCUCCCCAUGCAGGCCAGCCCAAUCCUCCGCUGUAACCUCCACUGCUACUUUGUAGAUUGCUUAGGGGGAGUUGCCAGUUUUUGACCCUGUCAGUGAGUACUUUGGGCGUGGUCACUCACCCAUUGAUUCCCCCCCCUUCUUUGCCAAGUCCCUAGCCUACUUGAAGACUCUUGGGAUCAGAGGUGCAGUGUACUUAUCCAACAGGUUAAACACGAAGGGCAAGCCCCACCCUACACAAAACACCUCAACUGCUCCCAUCUACUCAGGGAGAUGAGCCUUGGUCCAUACACAAAAGAACCACACCAAUGAAGAACUUGUCAACUUUUAUUUUCAGAAAAUCUUAGGUUUUUAAUGGUGAGGCUUCUGUAAGCAUUAGCUGCGUAUGAAUUCCUGAAAUUAAGAACAGGCAGUUACAUAGGUCACCAGGUAGCAUUUCAUAGCAACAAGCACAGGCUUCUGACAACAUGUCCAGUUCUAACUUACUUCGCUAUUUUCUUCCCCCAACCCAAGUCCAGAGCCCGACACCUAAGAGAACGAGUCAAGCAAAGACGCUGCAGGGAUUUGAACCCCGUCCUGGAAAACAGGAGUGCCAACCACCAGCAUCUUUUGCUUUUUUUUUUUUAAAGCUAGGAAAAGGCCAAAAAGCAAAACCUGAGAAAACAAAAGCUUUUGUUUUCUCAGGAAAAGAAAAACCUUUACAGCCCUACUGAAGAGCACGGAAGGAUCUGCUUCAACUAAGAUGCUAGCUUGGUCAAGUCUGCGUUAUUCACCUGAAAAAGUCUUAGCAGAGAAUUUUUGCAAUCCCACCCACCAACAGCCCUCAACAACUAGAAUGCCUGCUUUCUAUACUCCCUCCCCAACAUCAGGCUCUUGAAACACAUUACUUCUUUUACUACUUUAAAGUGGUUUUAGUUGCUGGCUAAAAGUGUUACAUAUGUAAACAUCUCAGGAUUAUUUAGCUGUGGUUUUAAUAACAACAUUCUGUUAAUUCACAGGCAAAUUAAUGGGCUCCUCUAGCAGUGCAACCCGCCAAAGACCUCGGCACCGUUGUUACCUUGAAACUGAUUAGGGGUCAUGCCCAUUAGGAUCCAAGCUACCAGCUGCAUCGAGGUGAGGGGUGAAGGGUCUGCGCUAGGCCAAAGGCAGGGAUGGCGAUGUGGCAGAGAAGUCACUUGAGGGGAGACCUUGCUUUUAACAGGCUUCUGGAAAAGCUAGGGAAAACUGGUUGCCCGCUUUCCCCCUUUCCCUCCCCUUCAAGCUGUUUGAGGUCUGGGCUUUUGUUAAGAGCUGCUAUGAAAACAGCUCAUUUAAAGGUUAAGACAGCCCAAGGAUGGAUUCACAAGGUCCUACUGGGGCAUUCAAAGGAAUGCUUCGUUCCGGAAAGUGCCUUGGUGCAGGUCUGCAGAGGCAAGUCCUCAUCGUUAACAGAGGAUCGGCUUAUGAAGCUGACACCAGUUUGUCGACCUUAGCGUUAACAGUGCUUUGUUGUCUCUCUUGCCACAGGAAGGCUGCGUGGUUGUCCUACUUUAAGCCUUCGGUGCCUUUAACUGAGGGGUACCUGGAAAAUCUUAAAAAAAAGGCUUAGCGCCCACCUCACCCCUCCACCCCCAUUGUCAACACACAACUUGCUCACGUGCUGUCAGCAUUAAGCUGAACAGUCUAAGGCUGGAAAUGGUUUACCCGUAACUGAUCUGACUUUGUAUGGAAAUAGAGAAAAAGCUUGUUCACCUGUUGUCCUCAUUUUGUCCACUGGUGAAUUCAACUGGACGCUGCUCAUAUUAAAGUCUGAAGGAUACCAUCUGAAAGAACUAGUAGUUCCCAAUCCCCACAUUGAACAUGGACUGUUUGGUUGGAUGCUUAAAUGUCUUAAAUAAAUGAGCUAUUUUUCCUUACUGGGUCUGGCUUCUCUGGCCCUUCGCAUUACCGUCUGCUGUUUGGAAUGUUCCUGCAUGUAAGAAUUAAGACCAAGGGAGGGGAGAGAGAAACCCACACAAAAAGACAAUACGCUAAGACCACUGAACUGUUAAAACGUUUCACUUGCCAGUUAAAUCUCUUGAAGAUUCGCUUGUUUGGGAUUUAUUUCUUGUCACUGUUUUUAAAGUUGCAUCUGGAAAAGACUAAAGGCUUCAGUGCCCCCCCACCCCCUACCAAAAGGGAACGAAAAGCAUUUUACCUAAGGAAGCACAGCAAAGGGUAAUUUUGUUUUCAAUCGCAAACACUGCUUAAAGCUGCAGAAAUUUCCUCAACACUCAGCCUUAUCACUCAGCUGGAUUUCCUUCCACAAUCACUACUCCAAGCAUGGGGGAAAACACAACUUUGACUCAUACUCCAGUCGUUUCACAACGCAUCCUAAUAGCAGCAGGUCAGAACAGUACUGCGGAUUACUUGCCAACAGAACACAGACCUGAAGUAAAGACAACUGCGUUCUCUGUGUACUCUGUAAAAAAAAAGCUAGAACAAGUGAGCCCCCCUCCCUCCCCCCCCUCCACAUUUAAGGGGAAAACUUUACUUGAGUGCGCUGAUAAACUCACUGCCAGGUCUCACACACACUAGAAGAGCAGAGCCAAGCACUUAGAGGCAAGUCAACAUUCUCAACAGUUUCCUGAGGGAUGGAAUGAAGCCUCUGCAAAGGAAACUUUAAAAACCCACAUGCCCCACAAAAGACUACAAAACGUCAACAGUGUGAACAUUGGCUAACGCUAGAUGAAAUGAUCAAAGCACUUAACAUGCAAACUUUGGAAACGCGGUUACUACUUUACUUUUUUAACCACUGUCAAUUUAUAGCCCUCUGACUUUCCAGAAACAAAAUGCGCAGUUACCUGUUUCUGAUUAUACCAUCUCCCACCUGUCUAAGAGGUACUUAGUCCUGAUUUAGAGGACCUCUACAUUGCCAUGUGCCUGGAAUUAUUAAAUGCUCAUCACUUUACGAAGGAGUUAAGUUUUGUCUUUCCUGCCUUAAAAAAGUUAAAUUCGUUCUUCUGCUCAAUUCCUGAUCUUGUCCGUUAAAGAGUGUUCGCAGACAAAGUUUCUGAAAGAUUAGAGAAGAAUCCCCCCAAGAUUGCCCAACACUAACUACAAACAUUUUAUUUAAAUAAGGAGACAGUUUCUAAAAGCAUACAUUCUCUAAUGAAAUGUUUUUAUUAUUUUGAACGAUUUAAUGGUUUUCUGCACAAAUACUAUAUACAAUGCAACACAUUUAAAUUUUAUCAAGAUUAACACAUCUGAUUCGUUGACACAGUAUGCUAUUUUUCAUAGUGAUUUUUGAUUCAAUUUAAGCAAAUUUCCUACCAUGUAAUUAAGGCCACUAACCUCUUAAGAGGCUCUGAAGAAUUACUUGCCUCUGAUGGACGUAUGCGAUCCCAUCAGCAUGGAAACUCAUAGGCUCAAGAUCUAAUAAAAAUCCCACAAUCCUGGAAUCCCCUAGGGAAGGGGUCAGGAAUCCUGAAGGCCUCCACAGCUCUUAAAUAAAAAUAGGCACUUGGCCUUAACAUGCAAUUCUGCAGAUUCGAGUUAAACUUAUCUGUUACAGCUGCCUGUUGUUUUCUGUUCCCAGAUGAAAUGAAGAAACUUCUGAUAAUUACGAAGAGAAACCUGUCUGAGGCAAAGGAAAGAUUGGCACACAGCACAGCCUCCUUCUCAAUCCACUUGAUCCCACUCAUCUCUGAAUUAUUUCAGCGUCUUUUAUUCCAAGAUUAAUGUGGAAAAAUCAUUUUCAUUUCGCUUCAAUUUUUAUUCUGCUUUUGUAAAAGCAGUAUUUUGAGAUGAACAUUAAUCUUCAUUGUAAGAUUUCUCAUCAAUUCACUUUUUUUUUGGGUGGGUUUAGCUCGAUAAGCCAACUGUAACUUUAAAAUGGCAGAUUCCGUAACUUUAAAUUGAUAGCUUUCAUUUGCUUAAUUUUUUGCAUAUGCAGACAAAUAGGUUCUCUGUGUUCAUCAGUGGUAAACAUCUGGUUAGGCUUUUUCCCCAAUGGAGUAGGACAUAAAAUCUUUUCUGCCUUUACUUAUCAUUCACCAAGGAGCUGUUCCCUCUCCAUCUAGGCCAUCAUAUUGCCAGGCUGGUUAUGACUCAGAAGAUGUUAUCUGAAAAAAGUCUACAGAAAAAAAAGGUUUCCCCUCCCUCAACAACAAAAGCCCACCCUCUGCAGACAUUCAAGCUGAACUAUCAGUUCUUAAAUUUACAAACAUUUCAGAUGCAAAUUUAAAACACAAUUUACAUUUUGAGGCAUACCUUAACAUCUUGUUUUGCAGCCAAAGGAAAAGCAAUUUUCCUACACUAAAAACCACAACUUGCUUACACACACAACUGAAAAUAGAAUCUUACUUGAUAAUAUAUAAUCUACCAUCAGAAGAAAUCCCUUCAGGAUCAUUAAGCCACUUCCUUUGCUCUGAAGUUCCUAGUAUUAAGUUAUAUUAAAUCACCUGAAAAAAAUUCCAAAAGAGAACCACACACUACCAUAUCCAAACAACUUUUUUUCCCCCCAAUGUUUUACCUAAUUAAGGUCAGCCCCGUAGGCCAGACCAACCCCCCCCGUCCAGCUCCUACACUGGGGGGGAACAGGGAACACUGCCAAGAAGCAUGGUACACCGAGAUGAAUGCACUGGUACACCCAGUGGUUCUUAACUUCCCCAAGCUGCCCAAUUCAAAAACUGAGAAAGCAAAACUAGAGCACUGGGAGUUACUUGCCAACUUGGAAGUAGGGAUUUCUUUAGUUUUUCCAUCCUAAGCAUAUUAGUUCUCUGGUAUGAGUUAUCUGAAAUCAUAAACAAUUACCUAAACCCAACCCUCCCAAUCCCAACCAUAACAGGCACUGCCAAGGACUACACGACAAAUUUCGUCCCUCCCCUUCAACGAAAGUGUUUUAAAAAUCGUAUUAUUUGAAAACUUAACUUCAACAUUUGGCCCUGUCAAGCUCUUCUGGUCUCCUGAGAUGACUGAAUAUGAACCAAAGCUGCACUGUGCUGUACUUUUCAGCUUCAACUGGGAAUACUCUUCCAAGGAAAAAAGCAGCUCCAAUCCUUGGAGAUGUUCGUGCCAACAGCAUAGCAGUACACUCCUUCUCUAACUCAGUUUGUCAAUAGUACUAUAGCAUCUGUGGAAAAUCUUAGAAGAAAACAUUUCCUCCCCCACCCCCUUCUCUUCCCUGUUAAUACCACCCCAAAAUACUUCAAGUAAAAACAAGUUUAAGGGAUUAAGUAAUUUUUAAAAAUUUUAACUACCAGCCGUUUCUCCAAGGGACAGCUCCUCCACAAACCUCAAAGUGAGAGCUACUGGUGCUCUAGUUUCUAGAACUGUUAAAUCUGGUGUUCUGAUUAUGCUGAUACUGGAUUUUCUUUUUUUCUGUGACCUUGAGUCAUUUGCCUUUGGAAUGUCUAGACCGACCUAAGAGGAAAAGAACUCAAAACAUAUUUGCCCCCCACACAAAAAUAACUCCCCCCGCCCACUGAGUUACACACCCAGACUCCCUAUUUCAAAAUUACAGGGUGAGAAAAGAGAAAAACAGGUCAUCUGUUCACAAAACUGAAAUCCAUCUGUAUCCCAAGCUAAAAACUGCUUACAAAUUUGUCUGCUGGUAUUUUCUCGUCUCAAGGAUGGUUCUAUCAAAUUCACUUGGUUUCCCUCAACUUGUUUAAAAAGCAACUUGCCAUCUACCAUUCCUCCGGGCCUUGGCAGUCUGCCCUCAAAAGCUUCAGACAAGAUGCGUGAGAACCCAAGCCUGAAAAAGAGAAACCUACGACACCCGGAAAUCGGCCUACACCCUCGUAAGACAUCCCUUUACCGACGUACACGCCCCGUUACCGUUAGGGAAGCAUUUAAUGGAGAUAGGUUACCAAACGUCGGUUACGGAGAAAACACGAACACAGAGCUGAGCCGGACUCGCCUUCACCGCUCACUCGCUCCCUUGCUCCCCGGCGCCCGCCGGUCUAGGCUCUGCUACCACCUAGGCGCCGCCGCCUCCAGGACGCCCGCCAGCUGCAGCCCAAGCGCAGCGGCCGCUCCCUCCUGGCUUCCUCGCCUAGCUUCACACCGGCGUGCGGCGCCUUCCUUCUUCCUAGCUCCUCCUCCUCCACACCGGCUCCCGGGCUGCUCCUUCCUACGCCUCUGCACCGCCGGCCGCUCUGGCCCGCUCCGACCGCACCGCUCCCGGCUCCUAGCCGCUCCCCGUCUUCCGCGCAGCCGCCGCCACUAACGCUAGUCCUCGGACGCCCGCCUCGGCUCAGUCCCAAGCAACAGCCGGCCGCACCUUCGUCUUCGUCUUGACCUGCUCCCAUUACCACAGUCCUUCCAGCGCUCUAGCGUCAGCUAAGCUCCCGAACUAAAGACCUUCCAAAUCCUCACUCUUCAGGAACAUUCUUAGCUUUCGGGUGUAUCUCAGGCCUUUCUGCCUCCCUUCUAGCUGCCGCAUCUUCUAAGUCGGUCCUGAUCUAUGGUGGUUUAAGCGCCCUCCUCUUCUCAAACCCUGAACUGCCUGCAUCACCAGAGAUUCGACAGAUGGGCUUUUAAAAGAGACUUAAAAAAACUCAUUUCCUCCUGCUCGUUUUUUCUCCCUUCGUGUAUUUUCUUCAACUUCUUGCCUUUCAAGUUUUCUAUCUUCUAUUUGUUCCUCGUCUAUCUUCUACGCUUCUGUCCAACAGCUGGCCUAACUUGUUUCUCUUCUCUAUCGGGAGUAUUUCUCGCCUUUUUUCUCACUUUCUAUCUUGAUCCUAUCUUCUAGUCUUCCACUGACUUCGUACUCUGCCCUGUUCGCUUGCUCCCUUGUCUCUUCCGCUUCCUACCCCUUGGGUUUAUUUCUCUUCUAAAGGCGUACUUUUAUCUUCCAGUUUUUCUAUCUUCCCUGUUUUUUCUUCACCUUCCUGUCUUCUGUGUUUUCCACUUCAAAUUUCUACUCCUUUCUCCAAAUUACUUUUAUCGAUUAGUCUUAUCUAGUUUUCAUUUUAGCCAAUACUGCCUGAAGAUUAUCUUAACUAGGCUUCCAACGACGCAAUCUUUUCUACGCCAUUAACCGGAAGGCCUACCAUCACCUUCAAUUUAAACUCUGCAAUGACUCCCCUUCGAGUUAUUCUGUUCACCUCCACCUGAACUAUUUUAACAUUUAGGUUCUAUUUAACUUGCUCUUUUUAACCUUAAGCUACAAGAUCGAUCUUUAAUUUAAGCUUUUCACGACUCUUAGCUACUUUUUGAAAAAAGAAACCUUAACUCCAUGAAGAAGCCUCAUCUCUCAGCUUGUCAUAUUUUGAGCGAUCUUUUUUCUUCUCCCUUUCUCAAACUAGUUUUUCUGUAAGUCUUCAUUAUUUAAGUAAGAUCUCUGUUAUCUAGUUAACUUACUAACAAUGCUACAGAGCUAUUUAAAUAGUUUUCGCUAGUUACAUUUCUUACAAGUUACACUAAUCCCUUCCUUCUCCUUUCUUAAAAACCUUCCCUGCGGAUUCCUCGGGCAGCUGCGUGCCCCACCUACAGCCCUGCGCUCGCUGCCCGAAUGCCUACCGCAGGGCCGAGGAGAGGCGUAUUUAUAGACGGAGACGCCUCACACCCUGCCGGAACUCAACAGCCCUCCGCCGCCUUUGUCGGGGAAGCAAAAAUAGUUCCUGGACAACCUUGAAAACCCAGUCAUGUCUUAGAGCCCUGCCUCAGCCUGGACAGCUCUCACACAGCCUGUGCAGCAUCCAGGUGCAGAAACCAAGCCUGGGCGGGCGGCUGGUGCUGGAAGCUUCCACCCCACGCUCUCCUCUACAGGAGUCAAAAGGAAUGUCGGUUGGUUCGACCUCCCUCACCAAGCCCAGUCAGAAUUCCAACAGAGGCAGCUCUAAAGACUGAAUGACGAGGACUCAGCCCUGGCCACAGCCUUCCUUUCUGGCCCGACUUGUGGCACCCACCAGCCCUCAGCUCCAGCUUUAGCGAUGUCAGGUGUCCUGGAGCCCUGCAGGUGCUUUCUCUGUGUCCUGUCUCUCCUCCCUGAAAAACUUCUAUUCAUGCUGAAAAACCCCCAUUUGUCCUGAAAAACCCGGCCUAAGUGUCACCCUGCUCCUGACUCCUCUAUGAAGCCUUUCUUCGGCUCUCCUCUCUCCUGAACACCAUGGCCCCCUCCUCAUCUGCCCCCCAAUGACAGCCCCCCAAUGCUUUGGGGCUCCCCCACCCUAUCUAAUCCUGCAACACUGGGAGCAUUACAGAAGGUGCAUCGUUACAGAGGGCCCACACGCUCCCUCCGAGCCAAGCUCCUUGACUUCAUGGCUGUGCACUGUGACCUUGGCAAGUUACUUAACCUCUCUGAACCUGUUUACUCCUCACUGAACUGGGACUGGUAGCUGUAGUACCCCCCUCAGGGUGGUGAGGGUGUCAGGAGCUUAGUACACUGCCUGGCUCAAACUAUGUGCCCUGUAAAUGGUGCUUGUCACUACCCUGUCUCUAGCUACCUUCACUUCCCCCUCCAGUCCUAAGCACUGGGUGGCACACAGCAGGCAACAGUAACAGGCCAUUGAACUGACUGCAACCGAAGGCAACCUCUCCAUGCCUGUCCCCCACCCAGCCUUCCAGAGCCAGGCAAGUCUCCAGAAGGGCUUAAACACUGGAAGUGACUUCACCCCUGCCUGGGCACAGGGAGAAGCAGAGAAGGUACAAAAAAAAAAAAAUCAGCCCAAUGACUGGGUGGAAUUUUCCAGUGCUCAUAAACAGAACCAGUCAGGGCUGCAAGGGAGGUCACCAUGGAAACGGUCACGUGUGCCAGCCUUCUGGUUAUUCCAACCUAGCUUCAGGAGGAUGACACAAGCUCCAGGCCUCUUCAUUGGCCACCAUCUUCCUCUUGCCACUGAUAUCUGGCAGAAGAUUGGCCGAGUGGAGUUGCUGGGCUGGAGUUAAACUGUCCUCUUCCCCAUCCUCCAGGGACCUGCUGAAAGCUGUUGUUUUGAACCUGAGGAAGAUGAAAAUAGGCUGCCAAAGAUGUUGUCAUAGCAACUGCCUUCCUUUCUGACCUCAGAAGACUUCUUUGGAAUUGAAGUACUUUUCCAAAGGCAGAAAGGGGCGUCAGCCAUUUCACACUAAACUUCUCCUUUUAAAGGUGAACUCCCUCCUUCUCCGGGGUAGUCAAGAAUUUCUGAGCCUCUACAUGGGGCCCACCAUGAGUUGGAAUCAACUCGAUGGCAACUAACAACAACCUACGGCUUUGGUCCGCCAUGUUAUCCCUGGGCGCCUGGGUUUCUUUCCGUGAAAUGGGACGUUCAUUCCAGAACUAUCUUCUAGGGCUUGGGUGAGAUUUCGACUGAACCAAGUUUGCAAAUGCCCGAUUUAAACUGUGAAACUCUGUGCACUUGCCACGUGUCUUUAAUUGGUCAGCAUUGAUACAGAUUAGGGUGGACUGGCUCUACGAGGUGAGGGGGUGGGGGGUUUUAGGGUUGUUCAGCGAAGUCCAGAGUCCUGGGACAGGGGAGACCCUUGGGAGUGUGAUUCUUGUUCUGUCACUAACUGUCUUCUGGGACUGUCGGCAGUUCACGUGGCCUCCCAGGGGGCUCAUUUUUCUCCUUCUAUAAAAGGAUUCCUCUUUAGAUACUCUCAGGGGGCCCAUUCCAGCUCUGAUAGUCCAUGAUCCUAAAUUAAAGGCCUGCCUGCUUUCCACGAUAAAUCUGUGGAACUCGUCAUUCCUACAGGUCAGGAUACAGGCAACUGCCGUAUACUGAGCAUUUUCUGUGUGGCAGGCACUACACAUACAUCAGCUCAAUCUCCACAACAAACUUAGGAACUGAGUAGUAUUAUUACCACACCAACCCAUUUUACAGAUGAAGAAACUGAGGCCCAGGGAUGUUUAUUUGCCCAAGGUCACACAGGCAGCAAGGAGCAAGGUCAAGAUUUAAAGCCUGCUGGUUUGAUAUGAAGUCCACACUUUUAACCACCAAGCUACCUUUCUAGGGACAAAGUGAAAUAAAUAUGAAGACAACAAUGGAUUGGGUUCCAAGCAGAUAAAACACUGGGUGGAAUGAACCCUGGACUAGGAAUCAAAGGUCCUGAUUCCUUCUGUAGUUUCUGCCAUUGAAUCACACUGUGUUACCUUGAACAAGUCACUUUUCCUCUCUUGGGCCCAGUGUCUCCAUCUGUAAAAAUAAGAGGUUAAGCCUGAUCUCUGUGAAGGCCUUUCUGGGUCAAAUACUCUGAUUCUCUGAGACAGAGAAACCAACCCAGAGGAGGCCAGUGACAGAUGUCUUGAGGCACAGAACAAACAAUACAGCCACAAAUAGCCUGCCCACUAGCUUCAAUCUCAACCUUUGGAAAAAACGAGGUUUAGGAAGAAGUGUGUAAGGCUGGGGCCCACAGAUCAGCACCAGUCCGUGCUACUGUCUGCUCUGCAGUAAGAAAAUGAUGCGGAACACACUGACCUCUCCAGAAAGCUAAAUGCAUUCCAUUUUAAGAGCGUCCUUUAUUCAGGGAUGAAGCCCUUCCAAUGUUUUUGAUGUUAAAAUGAGUUUUCUUAUGUAAUGGUGGUGAUGGUGGAUGGUAGUUAUUUUAUUUUAAUGUUCUUAUUUGGGAAAAGCUGGCUAACCAUAUGUCAAUACAUCGAAUUUUAAAAAAUGUUUUAUUAUGGGAAAUUUCAAACACAUACAAAAGCGGUAAGAAUAAUUUAAUGAAUCUCCAUGUUAUCUACCACCCAUUUUCAGUGCUUCUUAACCCCUGGCCAAUUCUGUUUCAUCUAAACUGCCAGUGCUCCCAAGCUCUGGCUUAUUUUGAAGUGAAUCCCAAAUAUCAUAUAGUUUUAUGGGUAAAAAAAAAAAUUUUGAAACAUAAUCACAUUAGCAUUUUCACAUCUAAAAAAAUUAAUAUUUCUUUAACAUCUUCAAAUAUACAGUUUGUCUCAAUAUAAAUGUAUAUUUUUUAUAGUUGGUUUGUUCAAAUCAGGAUCUAAACAGAGUUCGCACGUUUCCUCUGGUUGGUAUCUCCCUUCAGACUCUAUUGCCACCUAUAGAUUUCCCUUCCUGGCCUUUUUUCCUACGAUUUAUUUGCUGAAGAAUCUGACUCAUUUGCCCUUUGAAUUUUCCAGGAUCCGGAUUCUGCUGAUACAUCCCUGUGGUGUGGUGCCACAUACUCUCCUCUGCAUUUCCUGUAAACAGGUAAUUAGAUCUAGAGGCUUGAUCUGACUUGCGCUCCUUUUUUUCUUUACACUUCAUAGAUGGCGUUGAAACCAUCCAGUUAAAAAAAAAAAAAAGACUAGCUAAGUAAACCAAAAGCCCGGGACCCACAUUGCUCUGUAAGAAAUUCAGCCCUUCCAUCCCUCUUUGGUUCUAGGCCUCAUCCCUGGUCUAGCCAGGGCCUCAGAAAGCACCUUCCUUGGCACUUGCUCUCUGCCGCUGAGAUGCUCCGUGAGCAACCCCCUUAGGAAAGUGGCGAUCACAGCUGCCACACGCCUAUGUGAAGACCUACGUGAGAAAUGUACAUUAAAUGCCAGCCAAAGUAAUGAGAAAUGCUUUUUCCUCAUGGACAAAAUGAAUCAUGCAACUAAUUGUGUCCUUUGUCUUUAACUCCCAGGAAGCUCAAAGCCAUAAUUGAAGCACAACUUACAGCAGUGUUACAGGACUCUAUGGCUUUUUUCCUGGUCUUAACUUUGAAGCCUGCCUGACCUUUCCCUGGUCUGAUUUUCAUCUAUCUAACUGAAAGGUUGGAGGUUGGAGUUCACUCAGAGGUGCCGUGGAAGAAAGGCCUGACAACCUAUGUCUAAGAGAUCAGCCGUUGAAAACUGACACCUGGGGUCGCCGUGAGUCAGAAUCGACUUGACAGUAGGGUGUUUUUUUUUUUUAGUAUUAUCUGUAUGAAUCUCACUAUGUUUGCAAGGUGGCUCCAAUUCUUUGUGUAAAAGGUGGCUAUAAAAAGAUAAACUAAAAAUUUAGUAGCAAAAGUGGGAACUAUUUUUCCGGACUUCUAGCUCUGUCCCCACAAUUCUUUAUAUGAUCCUGGGACAAAACUUCAUUCAUUCAACAGACACCUUCCACGGGAGGCAGAGCUAAUGAAAAUAGGGCAGGGAGAAAGAUAAGGUACGUUUCUGCCUUCCCGGAGUUUAUAUCCUCGCGGAGGAAUCGGACAGCAAUUCCGGCGAAUAAGCAACACUGUACGUGUUCUAAAGAAAAUAAGGUGAUGGAAUAAAGAGAAACCAGAAGAUGAGGCUAGUUUUAGAUAGGGUGGACAAGGAGGGUGAGAUUUCAGUGGAGAACUGAGGAUGGAAAGGAACCAGCUGGGGGAUUUCUUACGGAGGGAGGAACAAGGGCAGAUGAUGUAUCAGUCACAAGGUGUCCCUCUGGGAGGUGGGCUGUUCCCCAGUGGGGAGGGAGUUUCCUUCUUGGACCCAUGGAACAGACCACCUGUCCUUGCCUUAUGAGUUUGAAUUAUGCAGCUGUUGUCAAGGCAUCCAGAUUCCAUCAACCAUCCUUGGUGAAACAAAUGCCCAUGUCCUUCCUUCUGACCCUUGGGCUGAGCCAUGUGCCAGGCCUGCAGAGCCAGGAGGCUCCUGGCUGAGGCCCAGCAAGGGCUCAGGAGGUGGCAGAAGCCCUGGCUCCCUGUACCACCCCUUCUAGAACUGCCCAUGAUGCCAGCUCUCAGGGCUGAGCCAUGGGGCAGGAGCCAGGUUUUACCUGGACCAUCCCAGCCCCAUGGGAGCCAACGUCUCCACUUGCCCCCAGAGAGCUGAGAUGAGAGCUGGGUUGGAUUUCAAAGCUCAGGAUUCAGCUUUCAUUGGGGGUUGGUACAUUACUCAGCAUUCUGAUGCCAGGCCCCGCCCUCUCCAGCUUUAUAGAAGUGGAGGUGGGAUUGGUGGUGACAGGGAAGCCCUGGGGGCUGCUAGGGCAAGGAAGAGGAGCCCAACCAAGCAGGCACACUAGGAGGGGCUUCCAGGCAAACAUGAUUCCCAAGCUCAGAGUGAUCCUAGAACAUCAACCAUGAGGCUGGGGGCUUGGUCUUGUCACGGCUAAAUCAUUAUCUAAAAUAGUGCCCAGUCUCUGCCACACAGUAGGUGCUGUUAAUGUCUGUUCAAUAAGGCAGGUAUAGGGGGAUGUCAGUUUAAGAGCUUUCUUAGUAGUUAUAGGUAGUGAGCUCCCUAUUAGUGGGAGGAACCAAGGAGCUGCUGGAUGGU